UACGUAGGGGGCAAGCGUUGUCCGGAUUUAUUGGGCGUAAAGAGCGUGUAGGCGGCUUGGUAGGUCUGCUGUGAAAACUCGAGGCUCAACCUCGAGCUGUCGGCGGAAACCACUUGGCUAGAGUCCGGAAGAGGAGAGUGGAAUUCCUGGUGUAGCGGUGAAAUGCGCAGAUAUCAGGAAGAACACCUAUGGCGAAGGCAGCUCUCUGGGACGGUACUGACGCUGAGACGCGAAAGCGUGGGGAGCGAACAGG
rnacentral:rRNA from 2 species